rnacentral:rRNA from 1 species
AACGUAGGAGACAAACGUUAUCCGGAGUUACUGGGCGUAAAGGGCGUGUAGGUGGCUUCGUAAGUCUGGCGUGAAAUAUCUCGGCUUAACCGAGGCAGGUCGUCGGAUGACUGCGGAACUAGAGGACGGUAGAGGCGUGUGGAAUUCCGGGUGUAGUGGUGAAAUGCGUAGAGAUCCGGAGGAACACCAGUGGCGAAGGCGACACGCUGGGCCGUACCUGACACUGAUGCGCGACAGCAUGGGGAGCAAACAGG